GGGGGGCAGUGCCACGGUGGCGCUUGUCGGAAGAGGGAGGGGUGCAGAAAUCUCGCCCCGUCUAACUCCAAGGUGUCGGGGGAACGUGAGUGAUGACCCCUCCUUGCAUUAUCUGCUCCCGCUAAGAGACCCUGGCCGUUCCAGGUAAGUGCAAGAAGCAAAGGGGGGAAGGUCCUCUUGAGAUGGUGGCAACAUGUCCAGACUGACCAGUGACCUGAGGAGACAUGAAUGGUUCUGUUCAUUGGUCCCUGUGCACACAUCAUGUCUGUCUCUGUCUUUCUUUCUCCCCCUCCUCCCUCGUUGUUUCCUUCCAGCCCCAGUGAGGCAAAGGCAAAGAAAACCAAGGACGUCCCGGGGGUGGGAAACCUUGCAAGAGACAACAACUGUUCGCCACGGAGGCUGCUCUCACUCUGCCGUGUUGGUGCCCAUGCCACAGUGUGCUCAAAAUUGUGAAAAUACUUUCUCUUCCUUUUAUGAGUGAAAUAAUUCAUGCCAUCGUGUGGUUCUGUCACGGAAAAAAAAAAAAAAAAAAGAAAAGGGAACAGAGCACCUCAAGGAAAAUAACGUCUUCUGAAACAGUCAGAUGUGCGAGCCGGCGUUUUAAAAUCGCGGUUGCCAAUCAAAAACACCAACGAUGAUAUUCCCACCAACCUGGACUGGAAGGCCCGAUCCUUUCUCUCGAGCUCAAACCGCGCUGUGCAUUUUCACGGUAUCAUAUUUGUGUUCUGUGGCGUCUUCAGAAACUUGCAAAGUCAAAAGACAAAAGUCACUAAAUGUCUCAUUUCCCACUAGUUUCGUGGCGCAAACCAAAUCAACGCUCUCUUUUCUCCUCCCCACCACAUGACUAAUUCCCGUUUCAUGCUUCGGUGUGGAUGAAUGUCAACACGACACUCUCACCGAGAAGAUUUUAUGGUCGGGUGAAUGUCAAGCAAAUUUUGAAAUACAUUCUGAUUCCAUCUGGACAGAAGACAGCAGUGAGCACAACACAGCGUCUCAUCAGAAUAAACUCAACUUUUCUUUUUCCCCCAUCAUAGAAUUUAUGUUGUGAAGGUGGAAAGACAAUUUCCCCACAAAGAGGAGCCUGUGAUAAAGAAAAGCUUAUAUCCUUGAAUUAAAAAAAAUUUUUUUUUCAA